AAUUUGAAAGAAAAAUAACGAUCAAAACUUAAGGGCUUGUCUUUGUCAUGACUAGGAAAUUGUUUGUUUCCUUUCCUCGGCUCAAUAAUUUGACAUAAAGUAUGCCACAAAACAAGAAAAAUAACUAUCAAAAUUUGAUUUGAUUUCAUAUGCAAGGACAUAAUGCGUAAUAUGGCAUGUCAGCUGGUCACAUGAUUAGUCACAUCUAGUAUUGUUCUUUCCUUCUACUUUACGAGCAAUUUACUCCACAUCAGUGUCAAAGAGGUAGAGUGAAUAAGUAGACUCUUUCAUUUUAUGUUAAACCUCGUUAUUCGGUGCUGAGAGAAAAAAUGUCCACACAAGACCCAAACAACGAUUAAUGGAACUAACAAAGGCUUAUGUUAUGUGGCAUUAUGCUUUUGCAAAAUGAGACACACACACUCGUCUAUCAAAUAACUCCUUGAAACACACUAGACGAGAAUCCGUUUCCAAUCUGUGUGGCUAAUGUUUUUUUUUUGAUUGGCAUGUGGCUAAUGUUGUUGCCAGAUAUCUUUCAUCAACCCUCCCCAGUGGAGAAAUGCCAUCAUCAAUGCACCAGACCAUAUAGGAUGUUUAUACUGUAUGACAGAUUUGGAGAGGAGUUGGAUCUGGUUGGUCUGAGUGUAGCCAAUGGUAGGACAUGGUUUUGGAAUUACGUUUAGUCUGGAUUGUGUCGAAACGUGUCUUCUUGUCUUACAAGAGACUAUCUCCUAUCCCUAGAUCAAACACAGCCUUAUUGAGGUGGUAAGCGGUUGUUUGGUGGCUCUAAGAGGUCUUUCUCACUUCAGGCAUGUCUCUCUCUCUCUCUCACACACACACACAACCUUUUAAAUCCUCUUCUUUCUACCCAUCUCAUCUUUGAACACGGAUUGAACAGUAAUCGGGGCAAGAAAAAGGUCGGGAACAUGUUAAACAGUGGUCUUUGGGUUUGUAGAUUAGGGAAUUUUCAUUCAUUUAUUUCUUAUCUGUCAUGUAAGAUCAGCAUUUAGGUACACAAGGAAUCGAUAAGUUGUUUGCUUUGUGGUUUGGAUAGAAUUGGUGAUGCAUGAAUGACAAACCAAGGUAAAAGAAUGGACAGACAACUUCAACUUGAUAGAACAAAGACCCUCUUUUUUAUUAAUUCUCAAAGAUUGGUUUUACGUCCUUGGUUAAGAUUGGUUGGGAUAGAAUUGGUGAUCCAUUGAGGCAUCUGAGCUAGCUCCUGCAGAGAAUUAAUGUUCUGAAAAAUUCCAUAUUUGGGUAUCUAACAAAAGCAAAGAAUGUAUUAACACUACAAAUGUGACAAUCAUGGACAACCUACACGGCACUAAGUCGUGCUUAAGGAGGACAAUGACUUACUGCCAAGGAUAAACGGCAGUCUCCAAAUUCAACUGCAUCUCAUGAACAAGAACUAGAUCUUCAUUCCCCUACGAAAGAUAAUUGGAAAAAUGAUUUUGCAAUUUUAAUCAUUGCAUGUACACAGUUUCAAUUGCCCCACCCUCAACUUGCCCCAAAUGUAUUCCGCCUUUCUCCAAUUGUUCCCUCCGGAUAACCAUAACUUAUUUGGCGGUGGAACUCCCACUCCUGUAGAAUUGGAGCCUCAUAAAGAGGACAUCUUAUUUACCUGUCUAUUACUAUGGCAAUGAGAUCGAUCCCAUCAAUUCCUUCCUUCCUUCCAUAGCUUCCUCGGAUGAACGAACCACCGCAUUUUCUCUCCCUCCCUU